UUUUGGUAACAGCAAUAAAACUGAUAUAAUUCUUUCUUGCCUCAAACCUAUCUCUCUUCGUCUACCUUUCAAACCUUAGCAACUCUCACCUGUUCAUCAAAGCGAAAACCUAUCCUCAACCCCAAAUCCGAACUAGCCCAAAAUCUCCCAAACAAAAACAAAUCCCAAACCCCAAUCAAAGAAAAUCUCAACCGAUGAACCAAGAACGAUUGAUAUAAAUAAGCUUUAGGCAAGUGAUUUCAACAUUAGAUCCAUCAUCAUCUCCAUAAACACGACAUGUUUUCUCACAGACCAAAUCAAAUGUAACAAAACAAACUUCGACAAUCAUCUAGCAUACAUGAAAUCAAUGAACAGAUGGAGCCUCAACACUUUUUAAACUUAAAAUAAAAGGUAUAAGAUCUCGCCGGAAUUCUGCAACUCCGACAAGAUUAUGGCGGACAACAUUUUUUUACCUCAAGGUUGUGAGGAAAAAUCCGCAGAGUGACGAUAAGAUCCCCUUUCAAUGAUUGGGACCGACUUAUUUAUAGAGAGAUUGACUAGGUUUUUGCACCAGAUCCGGAUUGUGUGCUGGCAGGGUGCAUAAAAUCAAUUCCGUUGGGUGAGAUCCUCCUGAGAUCGUGUGGGGACCGAUUUGUUUGGGGGUAGAAUUAUGGAAAUUAUGGAGAAUUUGUCUGUAGUGAAAUCCUUUAACAAUGCAUGGUCUUUUGUUUGAGUUUCUCGUUGAGUUAUUACUGCUGUAAGACAGCUGCACAAGAUGGUAAGCGGAUCAUGGAGGCCCAUGAUAAAUACAUGAGGAAAAUCCCAGCCUUGUAAGGAUAUGCCCUGCCAGUAUGUAUCAACUCUGUUUUCCUUUAAGGUAGCAUGGAUACCAGGUAGACUCUUUGGAUUUGUAGCUUUUGAACAUAGUGCUUCCUUAUACGUCCUUGUUCUAACAGUUUCAAUUAGAUUCUUUCUCGGGUUGUCUAUGUGGUUCUGUUCCCUGUUACCCUGUCAUGGACCUUGAGUUUUGAAUGUAACUUGGAUAGUAUGUUUCUUCUUGUAAUGUUAUUGAUUCUCAUGGCUACUUUGAGUUUCAAUCUUGGUAUUUUUUCAUGGUCUGUCAUGUGUUGUUUCCUGAUCAAAAAUAAUGAUUUACAGGUUGUACUGUAGGUUGAUAGAUGCAUACUAUAAUUCGGUUUGUGAACAUAUGUUGGAAAUGCUUUGUUUCUUAGUUCACGUCUUCAUGGUGUGGGAUUGUAAGUUAUGGAUAAUGUGAGUUUGCUUAUGACGGUGCAUUUGGCAGCAUGUUUCUCACGGCUUUUCCUAUGCCUUUGUUCCGAAAUGUUACAGUCUUGGUUGUCUUGCUGAUAUGAUGCAGUAGUGGUUUGUGCAGUUUCUAGAUCGAUUAUUUGGUCAAGGUUGGCUGGUUUGGUAACGGGUUUCUUUUUGUCAUGGUUCAGCAUCUGUCAUGGUUUUGUAACAGGUUCUAGUGUAACAGGUUAUUGAAAUAUACUCCGGCAACAUUUCGGUUUGAAGCAUUAUGUUAUUUGAACUGAUCCCAUCUUUAAUUGAUGACUCGUAAUGCAAUGGUCUUGCCGCUGUAACUUAUUCUUGGCGCCUCAAAAAGCUGUUAGAAUCUCUGCUACCGUCCAGAUGCUUAUCCUGUUUAUCGAUAUCAACAUUAUGGAACUGAAUAAUCUGUCUUGGAGUUGUUAACCAUCGUGCCAUCAAAGGACAAUCAUGUUGCAAAGGUCUGCAACAUGGCCUGCUGUGGGAGGAAUACUCUGAGUUGCAUCCGCAACCGGCUUUUGGGUGUUACAACAUGUUGUUGCUGUUUUGUCAUUCUGCAGUUUAUGGCAUUUGUUUUCAAAUUGUAUUGCUUAGUCUAUUUUUCAUGUAAAGUUGUUAUCUUAAGUAGGUAAAAUGAAUAACGGUUUGGGUUGCUUGUUUGUAAUUGAAAUCCUAUCCUACUUAAAACAAACAGUUUGGAUUUGAGCCCUUGUAAAAACUACCUAUGUUAUGAAAAAUGAUUGACAUUUGGGUUUGAACA